CCAGCGUGGGUGCCAGUUGGGAUGUGAACUCCUGUUCAGUGAAGAGCUGGCCUGGCCCCUUCAGACAUACAGGAUGUAGAACAGCUGUCAUAUGCUUGGUUGGACUGACUUGGUUUGGAUUUUAAGUGACAUGGAGCUGAUACCAGGCGGAAUCUGUGACAUUUCCAAGGACACUGCAAAACGGGACAAGAAGUGAUCCAGGAGCAGAAACAUACCAUCCACUAGUUAAUUUCUGAGCUCACUAAAACAGCAGCUAAAAACAGAAAGGAAAAUAGAACAAAAGUGAAGUGUAAACGUGAGUGAGAGUGAAGCAACUACCAAGUGAGAGCUGGCCGGGAUGAGAAUGAGCAGAGACAAUGAACGUGGACACCAAGUAUGGUUAGCUGAGCAGAAAAUGGGAAGCAGAGAUGAGAGCCAAGGAGAGGGGGGCAGAAAGGCAGCAGCAAGAAGCAGCACAUUGGCAGGCCAUGGAGCUGAAAGAGAUGGAAGCCCAAGAAAAGGAAAGACUGCCGGCCUGGAGCAUAAGGGACAGGCGGGGCAGGCUCCACCAUCCCCAGCUAUCCCCUCCAUUCAAGGAACACCUAGCUGGAUAAGUCAUGCCCUGCAUACAAGGAAUCAAACUGUACUGAAGAACACCUCAUCACUUUUGAAAGGCUAAGUGAACUACGUACAGUUCCAGAGGACAGGCCAGUCCCCAUACUGAUUGCACAACUCCUGGGUAAAGCUUUACAUGUAUUUAAUGAAAUGCUGAUUGCAGAAGCUUUGAUAUAUCCUGAAUUUAAAAAAACUGUCCUGCAAAGGUUUCAAAUUACCCCUGUGGUGUACAGGUUGAAAUUUAGAAAUCUCAGGAAAAGUGCUGGAAUGAGUCAUAAUGAGUACCUAUAAAAUGUGUAACCUAAUGAAAAACGCAAUAUGGGAUACAUCUUUAAAUCCUCUACAGGAAGUUGCCAUCCUUUGAUAAGAAACUUCUUACUCUUUUCUCUAUAAAUAGAUAGAAAUGCUGUGGUGCUAAGCAAAGUGCUUGUCCUGAGCUGAAUCUUUCAAACUGGGAACAGGAGGCCUGGUAGUUCUGAGAGUGUCCCGGGGAUAAGGGGCUGGGUGCUGCAGGGAACACUCCAAGGACUCAGGCGUUGGUGUGUGCUUAUGCUACUGGUACACAGAGACCGAGAACUGAGGAGGCCUGGAGGGCAGUGCUUGUCUUGCCAGAGGUUGGUGGUUUCUGGGAGCUGUUUCACAGCAAGCACAUACUAAGGGACAGUGAGGUGCAUCACAACCCUAGGUACCCCCGGACAGCGUCUGUUCCAAAUCUACCGUUAAUUCCAUCCAUCGUCUCUAUUCAAUCCCUGGACAUGCACUUCCAGAGUUAUUUGGGAAGGGGAAAAAAGCAGAAUGAAAUAGGAAUUUCCACAGGAUUACAGUGGUGCCCCCUUUGUCUGCCUCAAUCGUGAUGAAUACAUUAAUAGGGGCCAACCGACAACUCUCCAACAGCACCUACUAUAACAAACUCAAAGACAACCCCACACCACAGUUUACCCAAUUUAAGGAUAUCAUCAAAUCCUUCUCCAGAUAAACAAGGGAACCCAGGCAGACCCAUUAUAUCUGGCCACGGCACUCUUAUUGAAGCAAGAUUGGGACUCAGACGCUAUCCUCAAACCAUUCCUCACACAAAGGGCCAGAUUCCUCCAGGACACAACCUACUUUCUCAACAAACUUCGCAACAUCAACGACCUCCCUCAGAACACCCUUCUUGUCACCAGGGAUGUCACCUUCCUACACAUCAACAUCCCUCACAAAGACAGCAUAGCUGCCUGCCUCAAAUAUUUACAAGAUGGUGGACGACCCUCAAAUCUCCACCCCAA